rnacentral:rRNA from 1 species
AUUGAACGCUGGCGGCAGGCUUAACACAUGCAAGUCGAGCGGGGUGAUGGUGCUUGCACUAUCACUUAGCGGCGGACGGGUGAGUAAUGCUUAGGAAUCUGCCUAUUAGUGGGGGACAACAUUUCGAAAGGAAUGCUAAUACCGCAUACGUCCUACGGGAGAAAGCAGGGGAUCUUCGGACCUUGCGCUAAUAGAUGAGCCUAAGUCGGAUUAGCUAGUUGGUGGGGUAAAGGCCUACCAAGGCGACGAUCUGUAGCGGGUCUGAGAGGAUGAUCCGCCACACUGGGACUGGGACACGGCCCAGACGCCUACGGGAGGCAGCAGUGGGGAAUAUUAGACAAUGGGCGCAAGCCUGAUCCAGCCAUGCCGCGUGUGUGAAGAAGGCCUUAUGGUUGUAAAGCACUUUAAGCGAGGAGGAGGCUACUUUAGUUAAUACCUAGAGAUAGUGGACGUUACUCGCAGAAUAAGCACCGGCUAACUCUGUGCCAGCAGCCGCAGUAA